UGGAGGGAGAGGAUGUACAUGGCCUGCUCCAGGGAAGCAGCAGUGACCACCUCGAGACGCUAAGGCACUACAACACAGGCUGAAGGCCAGACACUUCCAAAGACCUCGCAGGAUCCAAAGGCAAACUGGAGCAUACAAACCCCAGAUAGGGGAGGGGAGACAGAGAUCCGCACUGAAGCUAAGACAGCUACAACAAGAAGUAACCUAGGGGAAGGCAACAGCUACCUGGUUGGAGCAACAUCUCUGGGUGUGCUGAGGGAAGCUCCAGACCAGCACUGAGCCAGCUGCUUCUCCCCACCAAAGGGGAGCUGCUUCAGAAACCUUUUUCUGAAAGAGCUCUUUUGGAA